rnacentral:rRNA from 1 species
UACAGAGGUGGCAAGCGUUGUUCGGAAUUACUGGGCGUAAAGCGUGCGUAGACGGUUAUUUAAGUCGGGUGUGAAAGCCCCGGGCUCAACCUGGGAAUUGCAUUCGAGACUGAAUAGCUAGGGUGCGGUAGAGGGAAGCGGAAUUUCCGGUGUAGCGGUGAAAUGCGUAGAUAUCGGAAGGAACAUCAGUGGCGAAAGCGGCUUCCUGGACCAGCACCGACGUUCAGGCACGAAAGCGUGGGGAGCAAACAGG